rnacentral:sRNA from 1 species
CGAGUAUCAGAAUGAUACGAGUAACCUGCGUUCAGGUUCGAGCCGAGCGAAGCGAGACAGCAACGCGCCAGCGUUGACCCGAAGGGCGAGGCCAGCGGCCGAGUCAUCCCGCACGACCCACCA